rnacentral:rRNA from 1 species
AGUGAACGCUGGCGGUAGGCCUAACACAUGCAAGUCGAACGGCAGCACAGUAAGAGCUUGCUCUUACGGGUGGCGAGUGGCGGACGGGUGAGGAAUACGUCGGAAUCUACUUUUUCGUGGGGGAUAACGUAGGGAAACUUACGCUAAUACCGCAUACGACCUACGGGUGAAAGCAGGGGAUCUUCGGACCUUGCGCGAUUGAAUGAGCCGAUGUCGGAUUAGCUAGUUGGCGGGGUAAAGGCCCACCAAGGCGACGAUCCGUAGCUGGUCUGAGAGGAUGAUCAGCCACACUGGAACUGAGACACGCCCCAGACCCCUACGGGAGGCGGCAGUGGGGAAUAUGGAAAAAGGGGGGCAAGCUUGACCCAGCCAUCCCGGGGGGGGAAAGAAGGCCUUGGGUUUGUAAACCCUUUUUGUGGGAAAAAAAAAGCAGCGGUUUAAUCCCCCGUUUUUCUGAGGGUCCCCAAAAAAUAAGCCCCGGCUAUCUUCGUG